GAGAAAAACAUUGAGGUAUAUGUAUAAAUCAGAUAUUGAUAAAGUAUGUAUGUAGAACUGCAUUUACGUUAACAUAUAUAAUAUAAGCAAAUGAAAUGAAACUGCAAUGUUUCCGAAUGAUCUACCAAUAACCAGUAUUUCUUUUACAAACACAAAUAAGACUUCCAAAUUCCUCCUUUUCAGUAGCAAUAAGGUAUACGUGUAAAUCAGAUAUUGACAAAAUAUGUAACUAUGUAGAACUGCAUUUGUUAACAUAUUAUAUGAGCAGGUGCAUUGAAAUUGCAAAGUUUCCGAAUGAUCUACCAAAAACCAGUCUUUCUUUUACAAACACAGGUUACACUUCCAAACUCUUCCUUUUUCGGUAGCAGUGUGUAUCCAGUGACGAAUGAAAAGCGGUUAAUUGAUAGCGAAGUGCAUGAUUACUAAGAAGAGGAUACACACUCGUUUUCAAUGCUAUAAAACCUAUUGUGCCUCGUAUUCGAUACAGGUAUCUACUUAUCGGAUAAAUGUUUGACUUGUCAGAAACUGUUCCCCUUAACGAAGACCCAUAGCUAUGUGUCACAAGAUGUCAUUUACUUGUCAGUGUAAAUCAUGACAGGUGUGACAUGAUUAUCAAAAAGAAUUUACCUAAGUCAAAGAAGCUACAGACACGUUUCCGAUGACAAGAACAACCACUUAGUGAAAUUUUGACAGACAGAAGAGAGUGACACCACUGCGUGAAUACAGGAAAGUGACAGUCAAGGUUGAAUGUCGAUCCCGAUCGUAACACGUAACGUGGGGUCGGAUGAAUGAAAAGGUUCAGGUGGCAUUCAGUAGUGCACAUUAUAACGCUCCAACACCAAUCCUUCAUUCUUUUCAUCUCUCGUGACAUUUGGGUACAUUUAUACUGUUCAAGGGUUUAACGCUGGUCAAAAUUAUAUAAAAAAAAAAAAAACUCAGUACUAUUUGUACAAGAAUUUGAGUUUUGUCGUAUUAUUUUUCUUGCUUUGUUUUUUAAAAUGAAGCAUAUAGAAUGUUUGUGUUUGUGAGGCAUUUUGAAGUGAAUGAUGAUUUAUUUUGCUAUUGUGUUAUUGUUUGGUAUGUUUGGAUGGAGAUGAAAAAAUCAUUCUCACAACGAUCGACGAAUACUAGUGUUAUAAUAAACAGGCAAACUUGCAUUUUUUCUAUAAGCUACCUGAUGGUGAGAUUCUAAAACAAUCUUAUGUAACAUGUAAAAGAUAAAUAAAAAAGGAAAAUAAAAAAAAU